rnacentral:lncRNA from 1 species
AUCUUCCGAUGGUCUGUAAUAUUUGCAUCCAUUGGUACUUUUCCGUAGGUGAAAAACUGUUUUUUAGUAGUGUAUCUUCCGAUGGUCUGUAAUAUUCAAUUUUAUGGUUUGUAAUAUUCAACAUAAGAUUCAAUUUGGAAUUUCUCCUGAGAACAGAUUUUGGUUGAUGCUUUUGGCUUUGACCACGAGACCCCAACGAAACAGCACAAUUCCCUCAACAAAGAUUUGCCUUGGUGAUGACCUGUGACCAAACCUAUUUCAUUUCAUACAAAAUAGACUAAUCAAGGCAGGUGAUAUAGUCCAGCUCAUCCAACUCGCACCUUGUGGAGAGGUUAUAAAAUAAAUAAUGUAAUCGAUGAUAGAGCACCAGUAUAAGUGAUCACACUUGAUAUUUUCAAUUAAAUGAACAAUGUGACAUUGUGUUUUUGAGUAAACCUAUUAUUUAAGGUCAUAUAGUCGCCGCUAAACUGGUGCUUGACACCAAUUAUUACUUUUAUAAAAAAUAUCCUUGACACAAGUCCAGUUAGAAUAUGUUUUAAUUGAGUUCACGGUCCUAAUGCCUCCUAGAUCAUUUUCAACUGAUUACACACAAAUAGAGCAUGCACCAUGUACUCCAACCUGCAACACCACACGCAAAGCCCGUCACUGUGAUCUUCCACCUUAUCAGGUUGGGAUGACCUCAUUAAGAAAAUUACAGCCCACUUUUAUAGAAUGAAAAUAUUCUCCCAGCAAAUUUAGAAAAGCAGAAACAUAGAAGGAUA